UACGUAGGGGGCAAGCGUUGUCCGGAAUUAUUGGGCGCAAAGAGCGCGUAGGCGGUCCGAUAAGUCGGCUGUGAAAGUCAGGGGCUCAACCCUUGAAAGCCGGCCGAUACUGUCGGACUAGAGUCCGGAAGAGGCAAGUGGAAUUCCCGGUGUAGCGGUGAAAUGCGCAGAUAUCGGGAGGAACACCAAUGGCGAAGGCAGCUUGCUGGGACGGUACUGACGCUGAGGCGCGAAAGCGUGGGGAGCAAACAGG
rnacentral:rRNA from 1 species